UAGAAAAUAUUUUAGUUUGAGCGUAACGUUGCAUACGUCGAGAUCGCGCGAUUCCGCGUUCCGUAUUUUUGAAUGAGUUAAAGCAGAAGAAGAAGAAGAGGAAAAAUAUUCAUAAAUCAUCAGCAAUUACAGCAGUGUCUUUGAAGUGCAAAUUUAUAGUGUGAGCAUCAUUGAAAUAGUGUAAAAGUAAA